UGGAUAACCUGAUUAGUUUUUUUUUCACUGUACUUAAAACUAAUUUCUUGCUCAAGUUUCUAUUCUUAAUUCUUUUUCUCAUUUGCAGCUGAAUUUGUGAUCAGUCUUGCUGAGAAAAAUACUACCUUUGAUACUUUUAAGACUUCGUUGGUCAAAAAUGGUGCAGAAUUCACAGUAUGUAUAUUUGAAGACUAUUUUUUUGUUUUGAUGUCAUUAUUGAGUUUAAAUUUUGGGAGGAUUUAAUGGUAGGAUUUGGAUGUAGGAAGGAGGCAGUUUGUAUAUGCCUAUUAAAUAAGCCAUUUAAUGUGCAAUGUUUUCAUGCCAUGAAGCAGUGGUGAUGAAGCUGGAUUUCCUGUGCCUCCUUUCUAGGAAAUUGCAUUAUGAUUUCCAUCAUUAAAUAUUUUUGGAUGUUUAUGUUCUUGUUCUGUGAAUCAGAAAGUCUGAAACAAGAAUCUAGGUUUUAUGGGUUGGGGAUGUGGCUCAAGCGGUAGCGUGCUUGCCUGGCAUGCUUGCAGCCCGGGUUCGAUCCUCAGCACCACAUACAAAGAUGUUGUGUCUGCCGAUAACUAAAAAAUAAAUAUUAAAAAUUCUCUCUCUCUCUCUCUCUCUCUCUCUCCCCCCCCCCCCCCCCCUUUAAAAAAAAAACAAACAUAAAGAAUCUAGGUUUUAGAGGUGAUGCUAAAGAAUAGGAAAUAAAAUGGUUGAAGGGAACUAAAUAACUUUUCCACUAAGGAUUCGUAAAAUUAGCAUUCUCUAAAGCUGCUAUUUCUAGCUUCAUGCUGUACCAGGUUGAAUUUUGUGUUCAUUUGUUCCAUUAGCUAAAUUCAAGUGCGUAAUUAUCCCUCACAUUCUUUUUUUUGGUACUGGGGAUUGAACUUAGGGGCACUCAACCACUGAGCCACAUCCCCAGACCGGGUCUCACUGAGUUGCUUAGCACCUUGCUUUUGCUGAGGCUGGCUUUGAACUCACAAUCCUUCUGUCUCAGCCUCCUGAGCUGCUGGGAUUAUAAGUGUGCACCACUGCGCCCAGCUCUUACAUUCUUUUUCUUUUCUUUUCCUCUUUUUUUCCUUCCCUUCCCUUUCUUCCCCUUCCCCUUCCUGUUCUUUCCUUCCCUUCUUCUUCCCUUGUCUUCCUUCUUUCCUCCCUCCCUCUCAUUCUUUCCUGAGGAUUGCACCACUGAGCUAUAUCCACAGUCCUGUUUAUUUUGAGACAGGAUCUCACUAAGUUGUGGAGGCUGGUCUUGAACUUGUGCUCUUUCUUACUCAACCCCUUGAGUAGCUGGGAUUACAUGUCUGUGCCAUACCUGAACACUUACUUUUUUAGUUAUAGAUGGAACACAGUAUCUUCAUUUUUAUUUACUUAUUCGUUUUUAUGUGGUGCUGGGGAUCGAACCCAGAACUUCAUGUGUGCAAGGCAAGCGCUCUAACACUGAGCUAUAGCCCCAGCCCCCUAUAUUUAUUUUUUAGGUGUAUAUGGACACAACACAAUACCUUUAUUUUUAUGUAGUUCUGAGAAUUGAACCUGGGUCCCGCGCGUGCUAGGUGAGCGCUUUACCACUGAGCUACAAUCCCAGCUCUUUUCUUUUUUUUUUUUUUUAGUUGUAGUUGGACAUAAUACUUUUAUUUUAUUUAUGUAUUUUUAUGUGGUGCUGAGGAUUGAACCCAGGGCCUCGCACAUGCUAGGCGAGCUCUCUACUGCUGAGCCAUAAUCCCAGCCCCCUUACUUUUCUUUUCUUUCUUUUUUUUUUUUUAAAUAUUUCUUUUCAGUUGUAGAUGGACACAAUACCUUUAUUUAUUUUAUUUAUUAUUUUUAUGUGGUGCUGAAGAUCGAACCCAGUGCCUCACACGUGUUAGGCAAGUGCUCUACGACUGAGCCACAACUUCAGCCCCUGAUCCCUUACUUUUCUAAGCAUGUUUAAUCACUGAUUCAGGGUUUGACAAUUUUUUCUCCAAGUGUCCAAAUAAAUGAAUAAAAAAUCUAAGAAGGACAACCCAGUGAGGUCCUGUCUCAAAAGUAACAAGGGCUUCUGAUGUAGCUCAGUGGCAGAGUGCUUGCCUGCCAUAUGUGAGGCCAUGGAUUCAAUUCCUAGUACUGCAAAGAAAGAAAAAAAUGAGUAUCAAACUGCUGCUGGACCUUGUCUUAUCAUAAUAAAAAAAUAAUACUAUUCAUUCACAGACAUAGGAGUCUCUUUUUCCUUUUCUUUUCUUUUUUUUUUUUUUUGUAUGGGAGAUUGAUCCCAGGGGCACUUUGCCACUAUGCUACAUCCCCAGUUCUUUUUUUUUUUUUUUUUUUUUGGAGAGAGAGAGAAUUUUUUUUAAAUAUUUAUUUUUCAGUUUUCAGUGGACACAACAUCUUUAUUUUUAUUUUAUGUGGUGCUGAGGAUCGAACCCAGCGCUUCGUGCAUGCCAGGAGAACGCAUUACCGCUUGAGCCACAUCCCCAGCCCCAUCCCCAGUUCUUUUUAUUGUUUAUUUUGGGACAAAAUCUUGCUAAGUUGCUUAGAGCCUUGCUACCUUGCUGAGGCUGGCCUCAAACUUGCAAUCCUCCUGCCUCAGCCUCCUGAGUUGCAGGGAUUAAGUCAAUUUGGAGUAAAAAUUCCCUAUUUUAAAAGAUGUAGUCCCAAUAAAAUUUCAUAUCUUAUGAAAAAUUGAAUAAAUAUAUAUAUAUAUCGUUUUGAACUGUACCAAUAAGUGUAACUCUUAAAGCCUUAUUAAAGUCAUAAAAAAUAAUUUUAAAAUUUCAAUUUAUAGCCCUAUUUUGCAAACAUGAUAGGGUGAUAAAUAAUAGACUUUGAAGAAUAAAAAUAUGGGCCGGGUUUGUGGCUCAAUGGUAGAGCACUCGCUUAGCCCACAUAAAAUAAAUAAAUAAAUAUAUAAAUAAAUAAAGGUAUUGUGUCCAUCUACAGUAAAAAUAUUUUUUUAAAUACAUGUAGGGUAUGAAGAUGUGAAUUUGGUGUCAACAUACCUUAUGUACAAUCAGAGAUAUGAUAAAUUGUGGUAUAAAGAAUUGUAAUGCAAAAAAAUAAAAUAAAAUAAAAUAAACAGAGCUCCUGGAAAAAAAAAAAAGAAGAAGAAGAUGCAUUGAGAGCAUUCUGAAUUAAAGAACUAGGGAGACACCAAAAAAGAGAGAGAGAGAGAGAGAGAGAGAGAGAGAGAGAGAGAGAGACAUGAAUGAUGUAUAUCUUUCCAUUUCUUUACAUAAUCUUUAAAUCUCUUAGCAACAUUUUGUAAAUGCCAGUGUACAUUUCUUUCACAUUAUUUUUCAGAUAUAUUUUUAAGUAGUGCAUAUGUUAGAACAUAUUUUAGAUGGUAUUUUUUUCUAAUUUUCAAUGUACAGUCGUUCACUACCAGUAUAUAGAUAUACAAUUGAUAUAUAAUUGAUGUUUCUUUAUUGGUACUUUAUACAGCAAACUUGCUAUGUUAUUAUUAGUUCUGGUAGCUUUUGCAAAGGUUUUACUAAUUUUUUUUGCAUAGGCAAUCAUGUCAAUUAACAAUAAAACUUAUUUUGAUUCUUCAAAAAAAUUUAAAAAUAAUAAAAAAUUUCAUACCUGG
rnacentral:lncRNA from 1 species